AUGGCAGCACACUUGCUGUCUUUCAUCACCAUUCGGCUGAAUAAUGAAGGAGCAAUGAUGAUUAUAUUUUGCUGGAAACAAUCUGUAAAGAAAGGUUAGCAUCACAUGGACAGAUCACAUGACUUUUAAUUUGAAUUUCCAACAAGUUCCACUUGUUGAUUGUGGUUAAUUGAAUUGUUACCUCAUCUAUUGUAAGUUGUGUUUCUCGUCUGUUAACCCGUAUCUUCCGAAUGUUAGCACUCAGGCGACAGAAAGACAGACUAUAGUUGAUACAUUCAAUAAUGACACUUCUAUAGUUGCUUGCUUGCUGUCCACAAGAGCUGGAGGCCAGGGUUUGAACUUGGUUGGAGCUGAUACCGUAGUUAUUCAUGAUAUGGUUUUCAACCCGCAAAUUGAUCGACAGGCAGAAGAUUGUUGUUAUCGCAUCGGUCAAGUGAAGUCUGUUACCAUAUACUUACCAAACUGAGAGAAGCACCUUUCAGGCUAGUCACUAAGGGUACAGUUGAUGAAAAUGUCUACGAGAUUGCGAAAAGGAAGUUAAUGUUAGAUGCUGCAGUCCUGGAAUCUGGCGUGGAGAUGGAUAAUGAAGGUGACGCAUCCACCAUGGGAGAGAUAUUAUCGAAACUUUUGCUUGGUUAAAGAUUUUCGAUAACUUUACAGUCAAUCUGCCGAUAGAGAAACUGCAACUAGAAACCUUUGUAAUUUAAUUUUUGUAUUUUUCUAGUCAAACACUUGACCUUCUAGCCACUUUGCCCAACCGAUACCCAGUAGCCUGAUGCAUCAAGCCUAGAGGACUACUUCUUGUAGUUUUUUCUUUUAUGUUCAAACAUAUUAUAUGUACAUUUUCAUAUAUUUUAUAAUUGAAUAUUUUUACUUGGUUUA